rnacentral:rRNA from 1 species
CCUACGGGAGGCAGCAGUGAGGAAUAUUGGUCAAUGGACGAGAGUCUGAACCAGCCAAGUAGCGUGAAGGAUGACUGCCCUAUGGGUUGUAAACUUCUUUUAUAUGGGAAUAAAAUGUUCCACGUGUGGGAUUUUGUAUGUACCAUAUGAAUAAGGAUCGGCUAACUCCGUGCCAGCAGCCGCGGUAAUACGGAGGAUCCGAGCGUUAUUCGGAUUGAUUGGGUUUAAAGGGAGCGUAGGUGGAUUGUUAAGUCAGUUGUGAAAGUUUGCGGCUCAACCGUAAAAUUGCAGUUGAAACUGGCAGUCUUGAGUACAGUAGAGGUGGGCGGAAUUCGUGGUGUAGCGGUGAAAUGCUUAGAUAUCACGAAGAACUCCGAUUGCGAAGGCAGCUCACUGGACUGCAACUGACACUGAGGCUCGAAAGUGUGGGUAUCAAACAGGAUUAGAUACCCCAGUAGUC